rnacentral:rRNA from 1 species
GACGAACGCUGGCGGCGUGCCUAAUACAUGCAAGUAGAACGCUGAAGAGAGGAGCUUGCUCUUCUUGGAUGAGUUGCGAACGGGUGAGUAACGCGUAGGUAACCUGCCUGGUAGCGGAGGAUAACUAUUGGAAACGAUAGCUGAUACCGCAUAAAAUUGAUUAUUGCAUGAUAAUUAAUUGAAAGAUGCAACUGCAUCACUACCAGAUGGACCUGCGUUGUAUUAGCUAGUUGGUGAGGUAACGGCUCACCAAGGCGACGAUACAUAGCCGACCUGAGAGGGUGAUCGGCCACACUGGGACUGAGACACGGCCCAGACUCCUACGGGAGGCAGCAGUAGGGAAUCUUCGGCAAUGGGGGGAACCCUGACCGAGCAACGCCGCGUGAGUGAAGAAGGUUUUCGGAUCGUAAAGCUCUGUUGUAAGAGAAGAACGGGUGUGAGAGUGGAAAGUUCACACUGUGACGGUAUCUUACCAGAAAGGGACGGCUAACUACGUG